UACGUAGGGGGCAAGCGUUGUCCGGAAUCAUUGGGCGUAAAGAGCGUGUAGGCGGCCCGUUAAGUCCGCCGUGAAAGUCCAGGGCUCAACCCUGGAAUGCCGGUGGAAACUGUCGGGCUGGAGUCCGGAAGAGGCGAGUGGAAUUCCUGGUGUAGCGGUGAAAUGCGCAGAUAUCAGGAGGAACACCAAUGGCGAAGGCAGCUCGCUGGGACGGUACUGACGCUGAGACGCGAAAGCGUGGGGAGCAAACAGG
rnacentral:rRNA from 1 species